rnacentral:rRNA from 1 species
CCUACGAGGUGCAGCAGUGGGGAAUAUUGGACAAUGGGGGAAACCCUGAUCCAGCGACGCCGCGUGAGUGAAGAAGUAUUUCGGUACGUAAAGCUCUAUCAGCAGGAAAGAAAAUGACGGUACCUGACUAAGAAGCCCCGGCUAACUACGUGCCAGCAGCCGCGGUAAUACGUAGGGGGCAAGCGUUAUCCGGAUUUACUGGGUGGAAAGGGAGCGUAGACGGCAGCGCAAGUCUGGAGUGAAAUGCCGGGGCCCAACCCCGGAACUGCUCUGGAAACUGUGAAGCUGGAGUGCAGGAGAGGUAAGCGGAAUUCCUGGUGUAGCGGUGAAAUGCGUAGAUAUCAGGAGGAACACCGGCGGCGAAGGCGGCUUACUGGACUAUAACUGACGUUGAGGCUCGAAGGCGUGGGGAGCAAACAGGAUUAGAUACCCGAGUAGUC